GCACUUUCUUGACCUCGAGCGUCGUCGACGAUCUCCUCCGUUAGCCGCCUCGCCAUAUCCCCGCCCGCCUCAUCUCCGAUCAAACCGACGAAGUUUAUCUGUUGCUUGCAUUUGGAGCUAAAUAGAAAAUUCCUUUCUGUAAAUCAUGAAUAUUGCUGUUGAAAUUUCUUUCUGUAAAUGAAUUGAGAGGUGGUGAGUUUAGAAUAGUUAGAGUUGAGGCAGUGGAGAGUGCAUGGGUUAGUUUGCGAGGGGCUCUGGGGUUUGAUGGUUACAGAAAUGGAAUUGAGGGAGAAGGGGUUCUUGGGGGAAGACGAAGCUCUUGUGCAAUUGAAUUGGAGAAGCUGGCAAUGGGGGAGAGGCUCAACAUGUGUCACAGCACUAGAGAGUGGCAUCGGAAUUUGAUUAGGA
rnacentral:lncRNA from 1 species